CAAUAUGAAAGCAUUAACUUUUCAUAUUGGAAAUCUCUCUAGUAGACUAAACUUGUAUUUAAUAGAAUCGGGUUUGUACUUUUAGGCAUCGUCAAAGUAAUGGAUUGUGAUUUUGACUUGAUUUUUCUACAAAGAGUUAUCAUAAUAUAUGAGAUUCUUUUGGCGAAAAAAGAUGUCGUAUGUAAUCUGGUAAGAGCAGUUCUAAUGGUUUUCAUGCUUAUUGGAUCAUCUAAUUCAGGGAUCUACUAAUGGUCAUGUCAUGGUAACAUUAUGAUGUCAUUUGAUAUUUUAGUUGAUUGUUAUCUGACAAGAACUUUCCUUACUAUAGUUUGUCAGAGUAACUCUAAAGUCCAGAUACACUGGAAGGGAGCAGCUGAAAUGGUUUUAAACUCAUGUGCCUUGACAUGUUUGGCUGCUUGCACUCCAUAGGUUAGGAUAAAGACAGAUAAGCUUGCGUUCAUUAGUGGAAAACUGCUUAAGCAGAAACUAUGGCAUAGUUGGAAGCUAUUGGAGUCAAGAGAUUACAGGGAAAACAGGGCAACCAUACGACUACCUCUCUGAUAGCAAAUGUGGCAAGCAGGACGGAAGAUUAUCUAAUACGGAGGAGGAAUAUUUUUGAUCCUACAAAGAAACUGAAUGACAUGAAAAUAGAUAUGACUUAUCUGGAAUGGUACAAGAAGGUGUCGAUUGAGCUGGGAGGAUACUAUGAUAGUUACAAACUUGGAAAAGUAGGGAUGAAAUCAAAAGCAGACACGAAAUCAUGAAGCGCAAGAAAAUUCUUACUCGAUACUGGAGAGGCAUAGUUGAUGAAGCAGAGCAAAUGCCUCAAAAAUGAAGGGGUGGCUUUUUAGACUCGUUGUCUUUUUGCACAGGAACCAAUUACCGAAGAAUGGUUGAACCACUUGACACUAGAUAGACAAUAGAUGGUUUGGGUAGGAGAAGAAAGGUGUAGCCCAAAUAUUUACAUUGAGUGGAAAAAUCAAUUUCCACUAGUAUUGUUAUUAAGGAAUUUUUUUUCUUCGUAUAUACAA